CAGUUUGAGCUGGAGCAAGUUGAAGGGCAGAGACCAACUCAGGAAGAGUAAUGGGUUGGCCUUGGCCUUGGCCAUUGUUGUGGAUUAUGUCUGAAAGAACGGGCUUUAACUGGAAUGACUUGUGAGAAUGGCUUACUUGGGGAAAUGGGAGCCUGAGUUUUCACAACUAACUUUGUGUUUCCUCUGAAGUUAUUCAAAAUGGUUCAUUUUUCAGGUUUUGGGUGGAAAUAUUAGCAAGGAUCAUUGCCAAGUGAAUUAAUUUGCUUGAUUAUUGUU